GAUGAACGCUACCGGCAGGCCUAACACAUGCAAGUCGAGGGGCAGCACAGAAACAGCAAUGUUUUGGUGGCGACCGGCGGACGGGUGCGUAACGCGUAUGCAACCUACCUUUAUCAGGGGGAUAACGGAGAGAAAUUUCCACUAAUACCCCAUAACAUCGAUCAAGGCAUCUUGAUUGGUUGAAAACUCCGGUGGUGAAAGAUGGGCAUGCGUUGUAUUAGGUAGUUGGUGAGGUAAUGGCUCACCAAGCCUACGAUACAUAGGGGGACUGAGAGGUUAGCCCCCCACACUGGUACUGAGACACGGACCAGACUCCUACGGGAGGCAGCAGUGAGGAAUAUUGGUCAAUGGGGGCAACCCUGAACCAGCCAUGCCGCGUGCAGGAAGACGGCUCUAUGAGUUGUAAACUGCUUUUAAACAGGGAUAAAGCACAGUAUGUAUACUGUGUUGAAGGUACUGUAAGAAUAAGGAUCGGCUAACUCCGUGCCAGCAGCCGCGGUAA
rnacentral:rRNA from 1 species